UGGGGAAUAUUGGACAAUGGGCGCAAGCCUGAUCCAGCAAUACCGCGUGUGUGAAGAAGGCCCGAGGGUUGUAAAGCACUUUCAGUGGGGAGGAAAAAGCGGCGGCGAACACCCGGCGCCUUGACAUUACCCACAGAAGAAGCACCGGCUAACUCCGUGCCAGCAGCCGCGGUAAUACGGAGGGUGCGAGCGUUAAUCGGAAUUACUGGGCGUAAAGCGUGCGUAGGCGGCGCGUUAAGCCAGAUGUGAAAGCCCCGGGCUCAACCUGGGAACGGCAUUUGGGACUGGCGGGCUGGAGUUUGGUAGAGGGAAGUGGAAUUCCGGGUGUAGCGGUGAAAUGCGUAGAUAUCCGGAGGAACACCAGUGGCGAAGGCGGCUUCCUGGACCAAAACUGACGCUG
rnacentral:rRNA from 1 species